rnacentral:rRNA from 1 species
UACGAAGGGGGCUAGCGUUGCUCGGAUUGACUGGGCGUAAAGGGCGCGUAGGCGGUUUGUACAGUCAGACGUGAAAUUCCCGGGCUCAACCUGGGGGCUGCGUUUGAUACGUGCAGACUUGAGUUCGGAAGAGGGUCGUGGAAUUCCCAGUGUAGAGGUGAAAUUCGUAGAUAUUCGCAAGAACACCAGUGGCGAAGGCGGCUCUUUGGUCUGUAACUGACGCUGAGGCGCGAAAAGCGUGGGGAGCGAACAGGG